GACGAACGCUGGCGGCGUGCUUAACACAUGCAAGUCGAACGGAAAGGCCCUGCUUGCCGGGUACUCGAGUGGCGAACGGGUGAGUAACACGUGGGUGAUCUGCCCUGCACUUCGGGAUAAGCCUGGGAAACUGGGUCUAAUACCGGAUAGGAGCCAUUUUUAGUGUGAUGGUUGGAAAGUUUUUUCGGUGUAGGAUGAGCUCGCGGCCUAUCAGCUUGUUGGUGGGGUAAUGGCCUACCAAGGCGGCGACGGGUAGCCGGCCUGAGAGGGUGGACGGCCACAUUGGGACUGAGAUACGGCCCAGACUCCUACGGGAGGCAGCAGUGGGGAAUAUUGCACAAUGGGCGCAAGCCUGAUGCAGCGACGCCGCGUUGGGGAUGACGGCCUUCGGGUUGUAAACUCCUUUCGCUAGGGACGAAGCUUUUUGUGACGGUACCUAGAUAAGAAGCACCGGCUAACUACGUG
rnacentral:rRNA from 1 species